rnacentral:rRNA from 1 species
UGGGGAAUAUUGGACAAUGGGCGCAAGCCUGAUCCAGCCAUGCCGCGUGAGUGAUGAAGGCCCUAGGGUUGUAAAGCUCUUUCACCGGUGAAGAUAAUGACGGUAACCGGAGAAGAAGCCCCGGCUAACUUCGUGCCAGCAGCCGCGGUAAUACGAAGGGGGCUAGCGUUGUUCGGAUUUACUGGGCGUAAAGCGCACGUAGGCGGACUUUUAAGUCAGGGGUGAAAUCCCGGGGCUCAACCCCGGAACUGCCUUUGAUACUGGAAGUCUUGAGUAUGGUAGAGGUGAGUGGAAUUCCGAGUGUAGAGGUGAACUUCGUAGAUAUUCGGAGGAACACCAGUGGCGAAGGCGGCUCACUGGACCAUUACUGACGCUGGGGUGCGAAAGCGUGGGGAGCAAACAGG